CGUAGGAAUCUACCCAGUAGCGGGGGAUAGCCCGGGGAAACUCGGAUUAAUACCGCAUACGCCCUACGGGGAAAGGCGGGGAUCUCUUCGGAGACCUGUCACUAUUGGAGGAGCCUGCGUUGGAUUAGCUAGUUGGUGGGGUAAAGGCCUACCAAGGCGACGAUCCAUAGCUGGUCUGAGAGGACGAUCAGCCACACUGGAACUGAGACACGGUCCAGACUCCUACGGGAGGCAGCAGUAGGGAAUCUUAGACAAUGGGGGAAACCCUGAUCUAGCCAUGCCGCGUGAGUGACGAAGGCCCUAGGGUCGUAAAGCUCUUUCAACUGUGAAGAUAAUGACGGUAGCAGUAGAAGAAACCCCGGCUAACUCCGUGCCAGCAGCCGCGGUAAUACGGAGGGGGUUAGCGUUGUUCGGAAUUACUGGGCGUAAAGC
rnacentral:rRNA from 1 species